CCUGCGUUUGGGUGAACAAAAUAUUAACUGCGUCGGUCGCGUCCUCCUCCCCACCAAUCGCGCAUCCUCAUCCAGCCCACCAAUCCCCGCCUCCUCCUCCCCACCAACCCUAGCCAUGCCCUUGCCGCCACCUCUCCUUCCCCGUUCAUCCUCUCCAGCAGCCGGUGCCACCUUUGUCUCUCCUCCUUUCUCCUUGUCACCAUCAUCACGAGUGCCCACCCGUUGGAUCAGGUGGUCAGUGCGGGAUGCAAUAGCGCAUCUGGACAGAGGAGAACGCAACGAUUGCAUCUCCUGGCAACGGCAGGGAGGACGGGUGGAUGAGGAGGCGAUAGCUCGAGAGUUUUUAUGGUGGGUGUGAAGGAUCUUGGGAAGGUGAGGAGGACAGAGCACGAUGUGUGCAGAUCUGAGAAAGAAUAGAAGAGGAAGAAUACCAAGGAAGAGUUUGGUGAAGAAGAAUAAGGUGACAAUGUGAGUUGCAUUGACAGAAUCCGUGUAUUAAGCUGAGGCAUUUUUGGCAGCUGCAGCAACCUGACAAUUAAUUUGUUCUCAUCCAAGUUGGGAACUUCUAGAAAAAAAUGACAUUUGGUUGGUUCGAUUCCAGAUUGGUCUCACCUUAUUCCUUUUAGAUGGAUGCUAUGGUCUUCCCUGCAGAUGCUGGCUAGUUAAGGUUUGUUGCAAAUAAUAGUGGAUGUUGGGCUGCCUCCACACCGCAAGAGAUGGAGAUGGUUGACGUCGGAACCAGUGGUUGAGGUCGAGUACGCCUCGUUGUCGUCGUCGUCUACAUCCGUUACGUGUGAGGAACUUGCUGUUUCUGGCACCAGAUUCAGCAGGGAGGAUAUCUAUGAGGCCUUUCAUUCUUCUGGGAUUCCCACACAUCUUGCAAGUUCAAGGGGGUGAGCUCAGCUGAAUGCGCGGCGACGUACUGUACCUUUGCAAGCCGAGUAUCUUGCUCUAAUUUGUUGACAGGGUAAGAGAGGGCUCUAGAAAGAGACAAGAACUUGUGCUUCAAGCGGCGAAUAUAGCCAGCCUAGAUGAUUCAAAACAAGAACAAGUGUCGGGAAGUUACAGAUGAGGAAGUGCAGCUGGCUACUAUGUGCAUGUCAGGGACAGAAGUUGCUAGAGAAAGCUCCGACAUUAUAAUCUUAGAUGAUGACUUCGCAUCUGUUGUGAAGGGCAAAUCUUCACUGAAUCUUGGAGAGUGAUGGAAGAUAAUGGGCCCAAGCUUUUAGGAACGCCAAGGAUCCAAUUUCAAGCUUUGGCCUCUUCCACAAAUUCGCCGUUCAAUCAGGAGGUCAGCUUUUCCUUCGUAAUUUUGCAAUUUACUUCACGGAAUCAUAGUAAAGGUGGACAAGUAGAAUACCAGUUCAAAAUUUCAUUUCUUCUUAAUGAUUAAUGUAAACAUAGCCACCUAGGUGAUCAUUGCAUAGGUCUACUGGAAAUUGGUCCUAGAGGAGCUCUCCAUGAAGUUUCUACAAGAACCAAAAUCAAUCCUACAAGCAUCAGAUAUAUCAGAGGAAGCAUGGUUCCCAAGUUCAUUGCUUAAUAUUCAUGAAUGUUGUCUACAACCAUGGCAUUCCCAAAACAAGACAACACAAUUAUUCUCUGGAGGGACAAGGGAUCUGAUGAUUAUCCAGUGAACUGUAUGUCUCUGAAGGAGCUUUGCACUCAACAGAUGUAUACAUCUUUAAUCAAACUAAGAGUGGGAGAUAUGCAUAAACAUUUUUUGGGAUACAUAACCACUCUUCGAACCUUAGCCAGAUUCUUCAAUCUUUGGGGUUAAUCUUUUUGUGAAAAGAAUUUCAGGAACAUGGAAAAAUGGCCAACUUUGCUUUGUACAAAAAAGGUAGAGAUGAUAAUCUAUUUAUCUCUCACUGAACUACUCUGAAUUUUGUGGUACCUGGUGAAGUUUAAAAAAUGGUUAUUCCUUGCUACCUUUAAUGAUAAA